rnacentral:rRNA from 1 species
UUGCACGCUAGCGGGAUGCUUUACCCCUGCAAGUCGAACGGCAGCGCGGACUUCGGUCUGGCGGCGAGUGGCGAACGGGUGAGUAAUGUAUCGGAACGUGCCCAGUAGCGGGGGAUAACUACGCGAAAGCGUAGCUAAUACCGCAUACGCCCUACGGGGGAAAGCAGGGGAUCGUAAGACCUUGCACUAUUGGAGCGGCCGAUAUCGGAUUAGCUAGUUGGUGAGGUAACGGCUCACCAAGGCGACGAUCCGUAGCUGGUUUGAGAGGACGACCAGCCACACUGGGACUGAGACACGGCCCAGACUCCUACGGGAGGCAGCAGUGGGGAAUUUUGGACAAUGGGGGCAACCCUGAUCCAGCCAUCCCGCGUGUGCGAUGAAGGCCUUCGGGUUGUAAAGCACUUUUGGCAGGAAAGAAACGUCGCGGGCUAAUACCCCGUGGAACUGACGGUACCUGCAGAAUAAGCACCGGCUAACUACGUG